AGAGUUGAUCGAUGGCUCAGGACGAACGCUGGCGGCGUGCCUAACACAUGCAAGUCGAGCGAGGAGAUCCUUCGGGAUGAUCCUAGCGGCGGACGGGUGAGUAACACGUGGGCAACCUGCCUCAUAGAGAGGAAUAGCCUUCCGAAAGGGAGAUUAAUACCUCAUAACAUUGCAGUUUCGCAUGAAACAGCAAUUAAAGGAGCAAUCCGCUAUGAGAUGGGCCCGCGGCGCAUUAGCUAGUUGGUGAGGUAACGGCUCACCAAGGCGACGAUGCGUAGCCGACCUGAGAGGGUGAUCGGCCACAUUGGGACUGAGACACGGCCCAGACUCCUACGGGAGGCAGCAGUGGGGAAUAUUGCACAAUGGGGGAAACCCUGAUGCCAGCAACGCCGCGUGAGUGAUGACGGCCUUCGGGUUGUAAAGCUCUGUCUUCAGGGACGAUAAUGACGGUACCUGAGGAGGAAGCCACGGCUAACUACGUGCCAGCCGCCGC
rnacentral:rRNA from 1 species